rnacentral:rRNA from 1 species
UAGAGUUUGAUCAUGGCUCAGGACGAACGCUGGCGGCGUGCUUAACACAUGCAAGUCACGGGGGCCCGCAAGGGCAACCGGCGAACGGGUGCGUAACACGUGAGCAAUCUGCCGAUCUCUGGGGGAUAGCCGGCCCAACGGCCGGGUAAUACCGCAUACGCUCAUCGGGGGACAUCCCCUGGUGAGGAAACCUCCGGGGGAGAUCGAGGAGCUCGCGACCUAUCAGCUAGUUGGUGAGGUAACGGCUCACCAAGGCUACGACGGGUAGCUGGUYUGAGAGGAUGGCCAGCCACAUUGGGACUGCGACACGGCCCAGACUCCUACGGGAGGCAGCAGUGGGGAAUAUUGCGCAAUGGACGRAARUYYKRMSSMRGSRMSGCCGCGUGUGGGAUGAAGCUCUUCGGGGUGUAAACCACUGUUGCCCGGGAAGAAACUCCUGAUUCGUCAGGACUGACGGUACCGGGUGAGGAAGCACCGGCUAACUCUGUGCCAGCCGCCGCGGUAAUAC